rnacentral:tRNA from 1 species
AAAGGGAGACCUAAUUCCGGUAGGAGACGAAAAAAAAGUAGUCCCUACCAAGAAUCAAUCCCAAAAGGUCGGAACGAGGUAUGAGGCUUUCAAACUAGGUUCUGGGUUCAUAAAAGACCUGAAUCAGGAACAAGGGCUAUUAGCUCAGGUGGUUAGAGCGCACCCCUGAUAAGGGUGAGGUCCCUGGUUCGAGUCCAGGAUGGCCCACCUGCACAGGUGGCAAAAACAAGAGAAGCGAGGAAUCAGCACCUUAUCUUACUGACAUAGUAAGAGAGAAUGCUGGCUCUGAGUAAAGAGUCCAGAGGAACCUUGAAAACUGCAUAGAGCUAGGUGAAAAAGCCAAAAAAGAAGACCGCAAG